GCUGUGAUGGCCGAGUGGUUAAGGCUUUGGAUUAGGAAUCCAAUGGGGUUUGUCCGCGCAGGUUAGAACCCUGCUCUCAGCG